rnacentral:misc_RNA from 1 species
UAUCAAACAAAUUGAAACGAUUGAUUUGAGCUAUUUGAACACAUGCACUUUUUUUUUUUUGACGAUAUAUAGAACACCUCGAACUAUAAAAUUCACAGCCUAUAAGCUAUGAAAUAGACCUAAAAACUGAUUAAAGAAAUGGCCAUAAAAUGCUCAGUGUCCAUAUAAUCAAAUUCCCAGUUGUAAAAUACUCAUAAAACAAAUCUAAAGGUUUAGCGAAUCCAAUGAUUGAUACUGAACAAAAACGCAAAUUCCAAGCAUUGAUCACUAAAUUGACAACAUUAGAGCUUAGAAAUGAAGGGGGCGAAAAAGCGAUAGAACAACUAGAACAAAACUUUACCUCAGGAGAAGAGUUCUCAAAA